rnacentral:rRNA from 1 species
GGCCGCGGGAGUUCGAUUCAGGCCUAACACAGGCAAGUCGAGGGGCAGCACUAGGUAGCAAUACAUGGGUGGCGACCGGCGCACGGGUGCGUAACGCGUAUCCAACCUUCCCGAUACUCUUGGAUAGCCUUCCGAAAGGGAGAUUAAUACAGGAUGGGGUUUCAAUUCCGCAUGUUAUUGAAACUAAAGAUUUAUCGGUAUCGGAUGGGGAUGCGUGACAUUAGAUAGUAGGCGGGGUAACGGCCCACCUAGUCUACGAUGUCUAGGGGUUCUGAGAGGAAGGUCCCCCACACUGGAACUGAGACACGGUCCAGACUCCUACGGGAGGCAGCAGUGAGGAAUAUUGGUCAAUGGUCGGAAGACUGAAAAGGCCAAGUAGCGUGAAGG